rnacentral:lncRNA from 1 species
UCAUAAAAGCCUCAGCAAAACUGAAAUCAUAAUGAUUGCCCUUGGAUCAUCAUUAGGUGUCCUUCUGCUUCUAUGAUUAGCUUGUGUGUUUCUACUUCACAGAAGGAGAAAGCAGCAUGAAGUAGGAAGGAAGUCCAUGGAAGAUGAAGACCUCCUAUUCAUGCAAAUAAUGGAGGCUACUGAGAAUCUAAAUGACAAGUAUAUUGUUGCGAAGGGAGCUCAUGGAGAAGUUAUUAAGGCUGCUUUAGGUCCAACAAAUGUUUAUGCAGUUAAGAAGCUUUAAUUUUCAGACCACAGAGAUGGAAGUCACAGCAUGGUCAGAGAAAUUCAAAUAAUUGAGAACAUAAGACAUCGGAAUCUGGUAAAAGUUGAAGACUUUUGGUUUAAAGAAGAUUAUGGAUUGAUCUUAUACAGAUACAUGGAAAAUGGGAGUCUUCAUGAUGUUCUAUAUGCAACUCAUCCACCACGAAAUCUUGAAUGGAGUGUUCGCUAUAAGAUAGCAGUUGGAACAGCUCAUGGAUUGGCAUAUCUGCACUAUGAUUGUGAUCCCCCCGUGCUGCACAGAGACAUCAAACCACAGAACAUACUCUUGGACUGCGAGAUGGAGCCUCGCAUCUCUGACUUUGGCAUUGCCAAGCUUCUUGAUCCCUCAUCUGCCUCAGGAACAUCCAUGUCAAUAUCUGGCACACUUGGAUGCACUGCACCAGGUGAUGAAUCUUUCUUUGUUAUUUAUGUUGCUUGAAUUUUGGGUAUGCUUUUUAAUGGACUGAAUUGUGAUCCAAAACGAAAAAAAUAUGCAUUGCAAUUUGAAUUGGAUAAAAAAUGGGAAUAUGUGUGGGGAGCAUUGGGAGAGAGGGUUAUAAAUACCUAUAUUAUGUGAGAAUUCGGAAAAUAUAUUAGAGUUAGGAUUUUGAGAAUUUUGAGAGAUUGUAUUAAUCUUAUUUAUAUGUCACAAUCGAUCCACGUUAAACUUUUUAUGUCCCUUUUUCUGUACUAUUAUGAUUGUGCAUGUGUUUUUAGUAUUGGCUCUGUCCGAUAAUACUAAUUAUUAUAAUGACAGAGAGCUAUUUUAGUAGUGAUUAGUUAUUUAAAUAGCUAUUAUAAUAACUAAUUAAUUGGAUCAAUUUAAUUCAAUUUAAUUUUUAUUGAAUUUUUUCGGAUUACAACUAAAUCAAACUAUAAUAAUUAAAUUUUUUAAAAGUAAAAUUAAUCUGAACCUUCAAAUUAAUUUAAUUUAAUUAGUUAUUUUAAUUUCAAACAAAUAUUGGUUCCUAUUUAGUGUAUUAUUUAUAUAUAUUUACUUGUAAAAAUUUAUUUAUUUUUUUAAAUUAUGAAUGAUGAAAUUUAUUCUUUGUAAGUGAGGAUAUACGUAUAUUGAAUUUACCUAAUAAUUUGCGAUAUUUUACGAUGAAUAAAAUAUUAAUUUUCUUAAAAUAUUAAUUUUCUUAAAAUUUAUUCUUUGUAAGUGAGGAUAUACGUAUUUUAAAUCAAUAUAAAAAAUAAAAUUAAAUAGUAUUAUAUAAAAAAUAAACAUAUUUUUAUGUAAAAAAUAAUGAUAAUUUAAACAUAUUUUCUAAUUUUUUAGUAAAAAAUAAUUUUUAAUAUUAUAUGAAAAAUAAAAGUAAAAAUAAUUAUUUCUGUAACUAAUUAAAUAAUAUAUUACUCGAAGACGUCCAUUCAGAAUUUAAAAACUCAUUUGUUCACGUUGUCGAAAUUCAUUGACUAAAAAAAUUAUUUUUUUAUUCAUCUUCUUCCUACUUCCUUCCAAUUGAAGGAAUUUUUUUAUCCUUGUCAAUGAACAUGGGCUAAUUCACAAUUGCAUAAUUAAUCAUAACUCAUAAAAAGCCUAAGUACAGGUCCAACUACAGCUGCUAACGCCCCGCAGCUCCACCACCAACUCCAACAUCAAAAAGACAAACCCUGUGAGAUUCCUCUCUCUCUCUAUCCCUCCUCCGAUCUUCCAAAGCCAUAUCUCUCUCUCUCUCUCUCUAUCUAUCUCUAAUUCGCUGGGUAUCCAAUCCUGGUUUCCUUCCAUUCUCAAUGACACAGUUGACAGAUACUUCAAAAAUCAAAACGUGAUCAGUCUCUAAAACUGCUACAGUUUACUCUUGCAUGGUUGCAGCAGGUGAGUGUCAAUGAUCCUCUUCCUCUUGAUCCCUUUAUACUACACAGCAUGGAGCUUGUUUUGAUUCUCUUUUUGCUGCAACAUGUGUGGAUACUUGUCGUUUCUGCUUUGAACUCAGAUGGGUUAACUUUGUUGUCACUCAUGAGGCACUGGACAUCUGUGCCUCCUUCCAUAAACUUGGGAUGGAAUGCUUCUGAUUCUAACCCUUGUUCAUGGGCAGGCAUAGGAUGUACUAACAAAACCAACAAUGUCAUAUCUUUAAAUCUUUCUGGUUAUGCUGUUUCUGGUCAAUUGGGGUCAGAGAUUGCUCGUUUGGCCCAUUUGCAGACCCUUAAUUUGGGCAAUAACAACUUCUCAGGUGUGAUUCCAUCAGAACUGAGCAACUGUACUUUACUGGAAAAAUUAGAUCUUUCUGAAAAUCAUUUUACUAGAGAAAUUCCACAUAGCUUAAAAAAUCUUCAGAAUUUGAAGGUGUUGAGUCUUUACAGCAAUUGGCUGAGCGGAGAAAUCCCUGACUGGUUGUUUCAAUUUCCACAUUUAGAGACAAUAUACUUGGACCUUAACAGGUUCACUGGUUCAAUUCCUAGCAACAUUGGGAACGGUACUAAUGUUUCUAAGCUGUGGCUAAAUAAAAAUCUGUUAUCAGGUACAAUACCUGAUUCUAUAGGAAACUGUAGUAAAUUGGAACAACUUGAUUUGAGUGAGAACAAAUUGGUGGGUUUUUUGCCUCAGUCUCUAAAUUUUCUUGAGAACCUCGUCAGCUUGGAUGUUAACAGUAACAGUCUUGAAGGUAAUAUUCUUCUGGGUUUGGGCAAUUGGAAGAAUUUAGAAUCGCUUGUUUUGUCAUACAAUAGCUUUAGUGGGGGUCUUCCACCGGAUCUGAGCAACUGUAGUCGCUUAGAAACUUUGGCCAUUGUGGAUAGCAACUUAACAGGCCAUAUCCCUUCUUCCUAUGGCUUGUUAGAUAAGCUUUUAUAUCUUUACCUUUCUGAAAAUCGUUUGUCUGGGAGAAUUCCACCUGAACUUGGGAACUGCAAGUCGUUGAAAGAAUUAAUGUUAUACAAAAACCAACUUGAGGGGGAAAUUCCAAGUGAAUUGGGAAUGCUGAGUGAACUGGAGAGCCUUGAAUUGUUUGAGAAUCACUUGACUGGUGAGGUUCCAAUUAGCAUCUGGAAAAUUCAAAGUCUUCGAAAUGUUACUUUGUAUGACAACAAUCUUUCAGGUGAAUUACCUCUUGAGUUGACGCAUCUCAAGCAUCUGGAAUUUCUGUUCCUGUUUAAGAACAAUUUCUCUGGAGUCAUACCUCAAAGUUUAGGAGUUAACAGCAGCUUAGAGAAGCUGGAUUUGAUGUAUAAUCAGUUCACUGGUCCAAUUCCACCAAAUCUCUGCUUUGGACGGCGUUUGACAGUCCUGAAUUUAGGUAAUAACCAACUUCAGGGUAGCAUACCGUCUGAUGUGGGAAAAUGUCGAACUCUCCAGAGAAUGAAACUUGAACACAAUAAUCUUUCAGGGGUUCUGCCAGAAUUUCUGCACAAUCCUGACCUUGAACAUUUAAACAUCGCCUGGAACAACAUUAGUGGGAAAAUUCCUUCAAGCCUGGGGAACUGCACCAAUCUCAAUUUCAUUGACUUGUCCAUGAAUAAGGUUGGAGGUUUUAUACCUCCAGAGCUUGGUAACCUUGUAAAUCUUAGAGAACUGUUCCUAGCACACAAUCAUUUGCAAGGUUGUUUGCCUCCUCGGCUAUCAACCUGGAAGAAAUUAGACAAAUUUAAUGUUGGGUUCAAUUCAUUGAACUGUGCACUUCCAUCAAGCUUGGGGAACAUGACCAGUUUAUCCACAUUAAUUUUAGAAGAAAAUCAGUUUACUGGGGGCAUUCCACCAUUUUUGUCAGAACUUAAAAGGCUUAGUCUUUUGAGAAUGGGUGGAAACUUGCUAGGAGGAGAGAUUCCCUCUUGGAUUGGAACUCUGAAGAAUCUCCAAUAUGGUUUAGAUCUCAGAAGUAAUGGAUUAAUUGGUCAAAUUCCUGGGAGUCUAGGGGAUUUGAGAAUGCUGGUAACUCUCGAUAUCUCCAGCAACAAUCUUACAGGAAAUUUGGAAGUUCUUAAUAGAAUGGAGGCAUUAACAGAGAUUAAUAUUUCAUACAACGGCUUCACAGGUCCAAUACCAGAAAAACUGAUGAAACUUUUGAAUGAUUCUUCAUCAUCAUUCCUGAGCAAUCCUGGCCUUUGCAUCAAUUGUCCUCCGUCUGAUGGCUUGAAUUGUGUUAGAAACAGCGGUUUCAGAGCUUGUGCCCGUAGUUUCAACAGUCAUAAAAGCCUCAGCAAAACUGAAAUCAUAAUGAUUGCCCUUGGAUCAUCAUUAGGUGUCCUUCUGCUUCUGGGAUUAGCUUGUGUGUAUCUACUUUGCAGAAUGAGAAAGCAGCAUGAAGUAGGAAGGAAGUCCAUGGAAGAUGAAGACCCCCUAUUCAUGCAAAUAAUGGAGGCUACUGAGAAUCUAAAUGACAAGUAUAUUGUUGGGAAGGGAGCUCAUGGAGAAGUUUUUAAGGCUGCUUUAGGUCCAACAAAUGUUUAUGCAGUUAAGAAGCUUAAAUUUUCAGACCACAGAG